GGUGCUCUGGUUUAUUUUAAAGUGGUUUUCCUCCCCCUGCCAGAAGCAUGUUGGGAUUUUUCUCCCCUAUUUACUGUGGAGUCUGGUUGAGCUUAUGGAAGUGAGUCUCACAAUAUGGUGGGGCGCCUUUAUGCCUGGGCUCCCAGGGAUUUUUUAACUCUCAGAGUUGUGCACACUGAGCCCUCAGCAGUUCCACAAUUAUGGCUCAGGCCUUCCGACCCUGGCACUGGUUUCCACGGGUGAUUCUGCUAGUGAGUCUCUGCUCGGAUUUGGCAUUCCAUACACUGAGAGAGUACGUGAUCAGCGAGCUGCCUUUGGUUUGGAAAGGAACUGAUGGAUCAGAGAGUACCAAUCGUGCAUCACAGUUACUGAACUCUCUGUCGUAAAAUGCCAGGAAAAAAACUAUUCUAUCUUAAAGGAAAACAUGAGCAUCUGGCAGGUCACAUGGAGGGACUGCCAGAGAACACCAAGGAACCGAGCACUGAAUUCCAGAGAUCAUCUAGGACAAAAGCAUUUGUCGGAAGCACAACUAUAUUGAUUUUAAUCCAAUUUCAACAGAAAUCGAGCCAAUAAUCUAUAAAAAUAUUAAAUCACUAUGUUGUACACCUGAAAGUAAUUGUAAAUCAAUUAUAUGUCAGCAAAAAAAUUGAGCUUUGAA